UACGAAGGGGGCUAGCGUUGCUCGGAAUCACUGGGCGUAAAGGGCGCGUAGGCGGUGCCGUAAGUCGGAUGUGAAAUCUCGGGGCUCAACCCUGAAACUGCAUUCGAUACUGCGGUGCUAGAGGACUCUAGAGGAAACUGGAAUUCACGGUGUAGCAGUGAAAUGCGUAGAUAUCGGGAGGAACACCAGUGGCGAAGGCGGUUGCCUGGAGCUUUGCUGACGCUGAUGCGCGAAAGCGUGGGGAGCGAUCCGG
rnacentral:rRNA from 1 species